rnacentral:rRNA from 1 species
AGUGAACGCUGGCGGCAGGCCUAAUACAUGCAAGUCGAACGGCAGCACGGCAGAGCUUGCUCUGUGGGUGGCGAGUGGCGGACGGGUGAGGAAUACAUGGGAAUCUGCCCAGUCGUGGGGGAUAACGUAGGGAGACUUACGCUAAUACCGCAUGCGCCCUUCGGGGGAAAGCCGGGGACCUUCGGGCCUGGCGCGAUUGGAUGAGCCCAUGUCGGAUUAGCUAGUUGGCGGGGUAAUGGCCCACCAAGGCGACGAUCCGUAGCUGGUCUGAGAGGAUGAUCAGCCACACUGGAACUGAGACACGGUCCAGACUCCUACGGGAGGCAGCAGUAGGGAAUAUUGGACAAUGGGCGCAAGCCUGAUCCAGCCAUGCCGCGUGAGUGAGAAGGCCCUCGGGUUGUAAAG